GACGAACGCUGGCGGCGUGCUUAACACAUGCAAGUCGAACGGAAAGGCCCUGCUUUUGUGGGGUGCUCGAGUGGCGAACGGGUGAGUAACACGUGAGUAACCUGCCCUUGACUUUGGGAUAACUUCAGGAAACUGGGGCUAAUACCGGAUAGGAGCUACUGCUGCAUGGUGGGGGUUGGAAAGUUUCGGCGGUUGGGGAUGGAAUCGCGGCUUAUCAGCUUGUUGGUGGGGUAGUGGCUUACCAAGGCUUUGACGGGUAGCCGGCCUGGGAGGGUGACCGGCCACAUCGGGACUGAGAUACGGCCCAGACUCCAACGGGAGGCAGCAGUGGAGAAUAUUACACAAUGGGCGGAAGCCUGAUGCAGCAACGCCGCGUGCGGGAUGACGGCCUUCGGGUUGUAAACCGCUUUCGCCUGUGACGAAGCGUGAGUGACGGUAAUGGGUAAAGAAGCACCGGCUAACUACGUG
rnacentral:rRNA from 1 species